rnacentral:rRNA from 1 species
AUUGAACGCUGGCGGCAGGCCUAACACAUGCAAGUCGAGCGAGCGGCGGACGGGUGAGUAAUGUAUGGGGAUCUGCCCGUUAGAGGGGGAUAACUACUCGAAAGAGUUGCUAAUAUCGCAUCCUAUUGGAGCGGCCGAUAUCGGAUUAGCUAGUUGGUGGGGUAAAGGCUCACCAAGGCAACUAUCCGUAGCUGGUUUGAGAGGACGACCAGCCACACUGGGACUGAGACACGGCCCAGACUCAUACGGGAGGCAGCAGUGGGGAAUUUUGGACAAUGGGGGAAACCCUGAUCCAGCCAUCCCGCGUGUAUGAGAAGGCCUUCGGGUUGUAAAGUACUUUUGGCAGAGAAGCGGUAUCUGCAGAAUAAGCACCGGCUAACUACGUGCCAGCCGCCGCGGUAAUUC